CUACGGAGGGUGCGAGCGUUAAUCGGAAUUACUGGGCGUAAAGCGUACGUAGGCGGUUUGCUAAGUCAGAUGUGAAAGCCCCGGGCUUAACCUGGGAACUGCAUUUGAUACUGGCAGACUAGAGUAUGAUAGAGGGGGGUAGAAUUCCUGGUGUGGCGGUGAAAUGCGUAGAUAUCAGGAGGAAUACCAGUGGCGAAGGCGGCCCCCUGGAUCAAUACUGACGCUGAGGUACGAAAGCGUGGGGAGCGAACAGGAUUAGAUACCCUAGUAGUCC
rnacentral:rRNA from 1 species